rnacentral:rRNA from 1 species
UACAGAGGGGGCGAGCGUUGUUCGGAAUUACUGGGCGUAAAGGGCGCGUAGGCGGCCUUCUAAGUCGAACGUGAAAUCCCCGGGCUCAACCCGGGAACUGCGUCCGAUACUGGGAGGCUUGAAUCCGGGAGAGGGAUGUGGAAUUCCAGGUGUAGCGGUGAAAUGCGUAGAUAUCGAGAGGAACACCUGCGGCGAAGGCGGGUAGCUGGGCCGACACUGACGCUGAAGCGCGAAAGCCAGGGGAGCGAACGGG